GACGAACGCUGGCGGCGUGCUUAACACAUGCAAGUCGAACGGAAAGGCCCUGCUUUUGUGUGGUGCUCGAGUGGCGAACGGGUGAGUAACACGUGAGUAACCUGCCCUGGACUUUGGGAUAACUUCAGGAAACUGGGGCUAAUACCGGAUAGGAGCUCCUGCUGCAUGGUGGGGGUUGGAAAGUUUCGGCGGUUGGGGAUGGACUCGCGGCUUAUCAGCUUGUUGGUGGGGUAGUGGCUUACCAAGGCUUUGACGGGUAGCCGGCCUGAGAGGGUGACGGGCCACAUUGGGCCUGAGAUACGGCCCAGACUCCUACGGGAGGCAGCAGUGGGGAAUAUUGCACAAUGGGCGGAAGCCUGAUGCAGCAACGCCGCGUGCGGGAUGACGGCCUUCGGGUUGUAAACCGCUUUCGCCUGUGACGAAGCGUGAGUGACGGUAAUGGGUAAAGAAGCACCGGCUAACUACGUG
rnacentral:rRNA from 1 species